AAUGAACGCUGGCGGCAGGCCUAACACAUGCAAGUCGAACGGAUCCUUCGGGAUUAGUGGCGGACGGGUGAGUAACGCGUGGGAACAUACCCUUUGGUACGGAAUAGCCUCGGGAAACUGGGAGUAAUACCGUAUGUGGUCGAGAGACGAAAGAUUUAUCGCCAAAGGAUUGGCCCGCGUUGGAUUAGGUAGUUGGUGGGGUAAUGGCCUACCAAGCCGACGAUCCAUAGCUGGUUUGAGAGGAUGAUCAGCCACACUGGGACUGAGACACGGCCCAGACUCCUACGGGAGGCAGCAGUGGGGAAUCUUAGACAAUGGGGGAAACCCUGAUCUAGCCAUGCCGCGUGAUCGAUGAAGGCCUUGGGGUUGUAAAGAUCUUGCAGGUGGGAAGAUAAUGACUGUACCACCAGAAGAAGCCCCGGCUAACUCCGUGCCAGCAGCCGCCGUAA
rnacentral:rRNA from 1 species